CCUACGGGAGGCAGCAGUGGGGAAUUUUGGACAAUGGGCGCAAGCCUGAUCCAGCAAUGCCGCGUGAGUGAAGAAGGCCUUCGGGUUGUAAAGCUCUUUUGUCAGGGAAGAAACGGCAGUUUCUAAUACAGAUUGCUAAUGACGGUACCUGAAGAAUAAGCACCGGCUAACUACGUGCCAGCAGCCGCGGUAAUACGUAGGGUGCAAGCGUUAAUCGGAAUUACUGGGCGUAAAGCGUGCGCAGGCGGUUUUGUAAGUUUGUCGUGAAAUCCCCGGGCUCAACCUGGGAAUGGCGAUGAAGACUGCAAGGCUAGAAUCUGGCAGAGGGGGGUAGAAUUCCACGUGUAGCAGUGAAAUGCGUAGAGAUGUGGAGGAACACCGAUGGCGAAGGCAGCCCCCUGGGUCAAGAUUGACGCUCAUGCACGAAAGCGUGGGGAGCAAACAGGAUUAGAUACCCUGGUAGUCCACGCCCUAAACGAUGUCUACUAGUUGUUCGGUUUUAAUUAACGUUGGUAACGCAGCUAACGCGUAGAAGUAGACCGCCGUGGGGUAGGUACGGUCGGCGACGAAGUUAAAACGUUAACAAUAGUAAGUUAGUACGGCGUGAGACGUACGACCGACGGACGACGACGAGGGAGGAGG
rnacentral:rRNA from 1 species